GAUGAAGAACGUAGCGAAAUGCGAUAAGUAGUGUGAAUUGCAGAUUUUAGUGAAUCAUCGAAUCUUUGAACGCACAUUGCGCCCCCUGGUAUUCCGGGGGGCAUGCCUGUCCGAGCGUCAUUACAACCCUCAAGCUCAGCUUGGUGUUGGGCCCCGCCGCCCCGGCGGGCCCUAAAGUCAGUGGCGGUGCCGUCCGGCUCCGAGCGUAGUAAUUCUUCUCGCUCUGGAGGUCCGGUCGUGUGCUCGCCAGCAACCCCCAAUUUUUUUCAGGUUGACCUCGGAUCAGGUAGGGAUACCCGCUGAACUUAAGCAUAUCAAUAAGCGGAGGA
rnacentral:misc_RNA from 1 species